UGGGGAAUUUUGGACAAUGGGCGAAAGCCUGAUCCAGCAAUGCCGCGUGUGUGAAGAAGGCCUUCGGGUUGUAAAGCACUUUUGUCCGGAAAGAAAUCCUCUGGGUUAAUACCUCGGGGGGAUGACGGUACCGGAAGAAUAAGCACCGGCUAACUACGUGCCAGCAGCCGCGGUAAUACGUAGGGUGCAAGCGUUAAUCGGAAUUACUGGGCGUAAAGCGUGCGCAGGCGGUUUUGUAAGACGGAUGUGAAAUCCCCGGGCUUAACCUGGGAACUGCAUUCGUGACUGCAAGGCUAGAGUAUGGCAGAGGGGGGUAGAAUUCCACGUGUAGCAGUGAAAUGCGUAGAGAUGUGGAGGAAUACCGAUGGCGAAGGCAGCCCCCUGGGCCAAAUACUGACGCUCAUGCACGAAAGCGUGGGGAGCAAACAGGAUUAGAUACCCUGGUAGUCCACGCCCUAAACGAUGUCAACUAGUUGUUGGGGAUUCAUUCCUUAGUAACGUAGCUAACGCGUGAAGUUGACCGCCUGGGGAGUACGGUCGCAAGAUUAAAACUC
rnacentral:rRNA from 1 species